rnacentral:lncRNA from 1 species
CCCGCCUCAGCCUCCGGAGCAGCUGGGAUUACAGGCGCCCGCCAUCACGCCCAGGUUCUCCUUCUCUCCUCUAUCCUGCCACUUUGUGAAGAAGGUGCUUGCUUCUCCUUCACCUUCCACCAUGAUUAAAAAUAGAAUAUAAAAACUUCUCUACUCCUGACUCACCAACGCACCAGAACAACUUUUAGUCCUGCAAUCAUGAAGCAUUGAUUGAACAUCUUCUACAUAUUAUCACCACCCUAGACACUACAACAACAAAGAAGGAUGAUGAAGAACAGUUUCCUGGGAAUCUGCCUAGAAUGAGAAAAUAUGGGUAAAGAAAAAUUGAGUGCUUGGGCAAUCUGGUGGUGGCAUGAAGUCAGGGGUGUACAUAGGAACAGAUAUAGAGAUGCUGAUAAGAAAAAAAAGAGGUGAUACAGUGAACAAUACUGAG